CAGAAAGUCAGGCUGGAACCCGGAGUGGCUGCAGUUACCUCAGUUCAAAGCCUGGCUUUACACCACUCCACAUGGAAUGUUUUGCCGUAUUUGCAGGCAGCAUAAGCCACCUGUAAGGAAUGGUCCUACAAAAAGACCCUUUGUGGAGGUUGGUGCUCUCCAUUACAGGAAGGAUUACCUGGAGCACCACAUCAGUACUGAACACCACCAACUGAGCAUGAAAUCCCAGCAGUCAGUCGCAUCAGGUAAUGUCUUGACCUUGCUCCUGUAAUAAACUCCAAGUUCCUACAUUUUUCUAUACAUUUUUCUAUACAGUUAAAUUGCUAGUGUUAGUAAUUUAAUUGUUCCACUUUAUGCAGGAUACUCCAUCAUGUCCACCUUCGAGCCAGUGAUACAUUUGGAGCACGAAGCUAUUAUUGGUGGUUUCAAGUGUCUUUACUGGCUGAUAAAAAAUGAGAUGGCUCACCACACCAACUACCCCAAAUUGCUUAGUUUAGCCAGACUUUUGGGGUGUGAUUAUUUUGACAAGCUUAAGGUGGACCGCAGGAACAAUUAUCGCUCUCAUCGAAUCAUCGAUGAGAUGCUGGAAAUAAUUUCACAGAUUAUCGAAGAGCCCAUUAUUCAAGUGAUAAGGGCAUCCCAGGCCAUGAGCCUUGAGGUGGAUGAGAGCACGGGUGUGUCCACAUCUCGCCAGCUUGACCUGCAUGUCAGGUGUGACCGAAUGUUUGGAGGACAAUUUACCCCCGUUACCAAUGUAGACAGAUUUUUUCCUUUUUCAACUGUGUGCGAAAUAAUCACAUCUCUAAUCUGUUCUAUUCCUAAUGUUGUUUUUGUUCAAUUCAGAUACCUGGAUAAUGAGGGACUGGUUUUCAACCAGUUCCUAGACAUUGUUUCAGUUCCUGAUGGGAGGGCUGACACUAUUGUAACUGCCAUUAAAACGGUCCUAAUGAAUAAGAAUAUGCCAACAGAGAAGCUCUAUGGAAUUGGCACAGACGGUGCUGCUGUUAUGACAGGUCAGGUAUAA
rnacentral:lncRNA from 1 species